GCAUAACACAUUCAAGUCGAACGAAGCAUUUAAGAUGGAGACUUCGGUCAAAGUCUUAAUUGACUUAGUGGCGGACGGGUGAGUAACGCAUGAGCAACCUGCCCUUUUGUUCGGGAUAACGUUUGGAAACGGACGCUAAUACCGAAUGACGUGUUGAGAUUGCAUGGUCUUAACACCAAAGAUUUAUUGCAGAAGGAUGGGCUCGCGUCUGAUUAGGUAGUUGGUGGGGUAACGGCCUACCAAGCCGACGAUCAGAAGCCGGACUGAGAGGUGGAACCGCCACAUGUGAACUGAAGGACGGUCCAGACUUCUACGGGAGUCAGCAGGGGGGAAUAUUGGGCAAUGGGCGAAAGCCUGACCCAGCGACGCCGCGUGAUGGAAGACGGUCUUCGGAUUGUAAACCUUUGUUGACAGGGACGAACAAAUGACGGUACCUGUCGAGGAAGCCACGGCUAACUACGUGCCAGCAGCCGCGGUAAGAC
rnacentral:rRNA from 1 species